GACGAACGCUGGCGGCGUGCUUAACACAUGCAAGUCGAACGGAAAGGCCCUGCUUUUGUGGGGUGCUCGAGUGGCGAACGGGUGAGUAACACGUGAGUAACCUGCCCUUGACUUUGGGAUAACUUCAGGAAACUGGGGCUAAUACCAGAUAGGAGCUCCUGCUGCAUGGUGGGGGUUGGAAAGUUUCGGCGGUUGGGGAUGGACUCGCGGCUUAUCAGCUUGUUGGCGGGGUAGUGGCUUACCAAGGCUUUGACGGGUAGCCGGCCUGAGAGGGUGACCGGACACAUUGGGACUGAGAUACGGCACAGACUCCUACGGGAGGCAGCAGUGGGGAAUAUUGCACAAUGGGCGGAAGCCUGAUGCAGCAACGCCGCGUGCGGGAUGACGGCCUUCGGGUUGUAAACCGCUUUCGCCUGUGACGAAGCGUGAGUGACGGUAAUGGGUAAAGAAGCACCGGCUAACUACGUG
rnacentral:rRNA from 1 species